rnacentral:rRNA from 1 species
UGGGGAAUCUUGCACAAUGGGGGCAACCCUGAUGCAGCGACGCCGCGUGAGCGAUGAAGGUUUUCGAAUCGUAAAGCUCUGUCCUAUGGGAAGAUAAUGACGGUACCAUAGGAGGAAGCCCCGGCUAACUACGUGCCAGCAGCCGCGGUAAUACGUAGGUGGCAAGCGUUGUCCGGAUUUAUUGGGCGUAAAGCGAGCGCAGGCGGUCAAUUAAGUCUGAUGUGAAAGCCCCCGGCUCAACCGGGGAGGGUCAUUGGAAACUGGUUGACUUGAGUGCAGAAGAGGAGAGUGGAAUUCCAUGUGUAGCGGUGAAAUGCGUAGAUAUAUGGAGGAACACCAGUGGCGAAGGCGACUCUCUGGUCUGUAACUGACGCUGAGGUUCGAAAGCGUGGGUAGCAAACAGG